GAUGAACGCUGGCGGCGUGCCUAAUACAUGCAAGUCGAGCGAACAGACGAGGAGCUUGCUCCUCUGACGUUAGCGGCGGACGGGUGAGUAACACGUGUAUAACCUACCUAUAAGACUGGGAUAACUUCGGGAAACCGGCGCUAAUACCGGAUAAUAUAUUGAACCGCAUGGUUCAAUAGUGAAAGACGGUUUUGCUGUCACUUAUAGAUGGAUCCCGGCCGCAUUAGCUAGUUGGUAAGUUAACGGCUUACCAAGGCGACGAUGCGUAGACGACCUGAGAGGGUGAUCGGCCACACUGGAACUGAGACACGGUCCAGACUCCUACGGGAGGCAGCAGUAGGGAAUCUUCCGCAAUGGGCGAAAGCCUGACGGAGCAACGCCGCGUGAGUGAUGAAGGUCUUCGGAUCGUAAAACUCUGUUAUUAGGGAAGAACAAAUGUGUAAGUAACUAUGCACGUCUUGACGGUACCUAAUCAGAAAGCCACGGCUAACUACGUG
rnacentral:rRNA from 1 species